rnacentral:misc_RNA from 1 species
CAAUGCUGUGCGAUCAGCAUUGAUCACUGUGGCGGCAGUAAUGCUUAUCCUGGCUCUGCUUGGUUUUUUCCUUUCUAUCCUUGGGCACCAACAUGCUAUUCAUAUAUUUGUGGUUAGUGGGUGGCUAUUAGUGGCAAUUACAUUCAUUCUUUGUGGAGUUUUUAUAAUUCUUAACAAUGCAAUUUCUGAUACCUGUAUGGCCAUGGAAGAAUGGGUAGAUCACCCCCAUGCAGUGACUGCUCUUAGCAGCAUCCUUCCGUGUGUUGACCAGAGCACGACAAACAAGACACUCAUUCAGAGUAAAGAAGUGAUAAAUGAUAUUGUAAAUGUUGUCAAUACAUACAUAUACACCUUUGCAAAUGCAAAUCCAUCCCAGACCGAGUACAAUUAUUAUAACCAGUCUGGACCUUUCAUGCCUCCACUUUGUUACCCAUUUGACUCUCAGCUUCAAGACCGUCAGUGUGGGCCCCAAGAGGUGUCCAUGACAAAUGCAUCCAUGGUUUGGGAGGACUAUGUUUGCAAGGUCUCACCAUUUGGGCUGUGCACAACUGUUGGUAGGGCGACCCCUGAGAUCUACGACCAGUUGGUAGCAGCAGUAAUGGAAAGCUAUGCUCUAGAGCACUAUACCCCACUUUUGCUCAGUCUCCAGGACUGUAAAUUUGUCAGGGACACAUUCCAAGAAAUCACCUCGAAUUAUUGCCCUCCAUUGGAACAUUAUCUGAAGAUUGUAAAUGCAGGACUGGGCCUUAUAGCAGUUGGAGUUUUACUCUGUCUCCUCCUCUGGAUACUCUAUGCAAACCGCCCCCAAAGGGAGGAAGUGUUUGUGAAAUUACCCUUGCCAAUAAAAGGCGUCAAUAGCAGGAGCAGCAAUAAGAACAGUUCAAGACAUCACGACAACAAUGAUGCAUCAUUGUCAAAUACUAGUGAAGUAUAGCGAAUUAGAAAAUCAACACAAAAUCAUCUUUAUUUCUGUGAGUUCAGUUACAUCCCGUAACAAGGGAAGAUACCAAGAUGGGGCGAAGUUCCAUUUUGAGUUGUAGGAUAGUGAUCAUAUGUGCUGUAUUGUUACUCUUGUAUGGAUGAAGUGUUU